rnacentral:rRNA from 1 species
UACGGGGGGAGCAAGCGUUGUUCGGAUUUACUGGGCGUAAAGGGCGCGUAGGCGGUCGUGACAAGUCACUUGUGAAAUCUACCGGGCUUAACUCGGAACGGUCGAAGUGAUACUGUCGGACUAGAGUACAGAAGGGGGCAACUGGAAUUCUCGGUGUAGCGGUGAAAUUCGUAGAUAUCGGGAGGAACACCGGUGGCGAAGGCGGCGAUCUGGGUCGAUACUGACGCUGAGGUGCGAAAGCGUGGGGGAGCAAACAGG